rnacentral:misc_RNA from 1 species
UCAUUACUCAAUAACAAAGAGAUCAAAAACCAGUACAAACAUCUUACUAUUAUCAAGAGAACCAUUUCGACAUGCUCCAAUUAAAAAAAGGAGAAGCCAAGUAAAAGGGAAGAGUAGACUCUCGCUAUUGCUCAGGCUCACAUAUAUACCAGAGCUUCCACAUAAACUAUGUACAAGACCAGAUGUACAAGACCAGAUAUACCCAGCAGUAGCAAGUAAAUAUUUGACAUUCCCUAUACUAAUAUUUAAGUUCCUCCAGACUGCAAUAGUCUUAUAACACAACAAAGCAUAAUAUAUAGCUGUACAAAUGUAACCUCUUCAACAUCAUUUACCACAAACUUUAAAAUCAUCUACCAGAAGUAGCAUAUGCUUCUUUCUCUGUAUCCCGUUUGGCCGUCUGUGAGCUAGUUGACGUAAUGGGGAGAGGAAGAGGAAGUGGUAGAGGGGACUCUAUAUUUGGAGUAGUUCUAUCCCGAACUUCCUUUUGUGAGGUAACGAGGAUGGGUUCUUCUUCUGUUUUUGGAGUGUAAUUAAAGGAAAGAUCCUUGUUAGCUGCCAAUGCAAGUAGCUCUUUCUCCUCAAGCCCUUUGGGUGACCCAAUGGUGCAACGAUCUGUACCAUACUUCGCCAAUGCAUCUCUGAAUUUUUUGAUCGUGGCAUUGGUACAGCUAAAGCUGCAAACACGGCCUUCAGCUCCUCUAUAGAAACGGAAAAACGGGAGAACAUGUACAUUAAGAGAGUAACACAUCGACUUGUGUUCCUCAUAGUUCACCUGUAAAAACUGCACAUCUGGAUUCAUCUCUGCCAGCUGACACAACUUGGGGUGAAGAGCUUUACAACCUCCACAGCCAGGAGAAAAGAAAUCAACAACAACUAAUUUAUCCCCUGCACUCAAUAGAGAGUCAACAAGUUCUUGUGCACUGUUCACUUCUUUCAUGUUAGGUUGAACCCCUUUCUCCCACCAUUUCUGUGCUUUCUUGAUUCCAACACUCAUCUGAGCAGUGAUAUCAGCAACUCUUCGGUUGAAAUUGGAUAAGCCUUCAUUUAUAACCAAUCUACGACCAUAAAAAUCGGUUCUUGGCAAACAAGAAGAAGAAAGCUUCAACGAAGGAAGACAAGAAAGAUUGACCGAUUUAUUGGGAAAAGAACAGAUCCCAUGUAGAUUAAGACGAAGACGAUCAUAAAUUUCACCACAAUCAGAAGAAGAAGAAGGAAAGAUAAAACCUUUGCUCAUCAAUUUCGUCAUGACUUUCCUUUUCAAACGAUCUCAAAUUCUCAAUCAAACACCUCAACAUAAAAAAAAAAAAUUGCGAUCGACCCUGAUGAAGAAACUGGAAAUCUGAAAAAGGGUUAUUCUCCUUUUCUUUCUUCAGUUCUUAGUUUAUCUUGUUAAUGGAGAUUUCAAGAGUGAAGUAAAAGGGAAAAAGGCAAG